rnacentral:lncRNA from 1 species
AUCAUUAAGGAGGGUCGAGGAACAGGAGCCCAAGCUACAGCGAAGAAGAUUGGCAUUGCGUGUGCGGUCUACUGUCUAUGGAAGCAUAGAAAUUCAAGAAUGUUCGAAGGAAAGAUUACGCACCCCUCCAGCAUGAUCAGGGACAUCAAAAUUCAAAUUUAUAGAUCAUUACAUGGGCUGUACCCGAACUUCAUGAAUUUGUGAUUCUGCACAAAAUCAAGGGGUUAUUGCGGAUGCUGGUCUCCUAGCUUUUGUGGAUAUUGCUGCGAUUCAUUGUAGACAUUGUCUAUCUAUGGCCUAUUUUGAGUUGUAGUUCUGGCCAUCAUAGUUGUUUUGGGGUCUGUUUUUUCCCGCAUGUGGGGCUUGGUUUUAUGGCCCAUCAGGGCUUUCGUGCAUGUAUGUGUUGCUGUCAAGUAUUUUUGUUGCCUGUUUCCCAUUGUAAUGUUUGUUCCCAGGUCUUUGACCUUUUGUCUGCCUCUUGGUAAGUCCGGAGGCCCAUUCAUUUGAUCAAAUAUACUCUUUUUACCUUGAUCAAAAAAAAAAAAGAAAGAGC